UACGUAGGGUCCGAGCGUUGUCCGGAAUUAUUGGGCGUAAAGGGCUCGUAGGCGGUUCGUCACGUCGGGAGUGAAAACUCGGAGCUUAACUCCGAGCCUGCUUCCGAUACGGGCAGACUAGAGGUAGGCAGGGGAGAGCGGAACUCCUGGUGUAGCGGUGGAAUGCGCAGAUAUCAGGAGGAACACCGGUGGCGAAGGCGGAUCUCUGGGCCUUACCUGACGCUGAGGCGCGAAAGCUAGGGGAGCAAACAGG
rnacentral:rRNA from 1 species